rnacentral:rRNA from 1 species
UACGUAGGGCGCAAGCGUUGUCCGGAAUCAUUGGGCGUAAAGAGCUCGUAGGCGGCCUGUCGCGUCCGCUGUGAAAUCCCGGGGCUUAACCCCGGGCGUGCAGUGGAUACGGGGUGGCUGGAGGCAGGCAGAGGAGAGCGGAAUUCCCGGUGUAGCGGUGAAAUGCGCAGAUAUCGGGAGGAACACCAGUGGCGAAGGCGGGUCUCUGGACAGUUCCUGACGCUGAGGCACGAAGGUCAGGGGAGCAAACGGG